CUGGCGGCGUGCCUAAUACAUGCAAGUCGAGCGAACGGACGAGAAGCUUGCUUCUCUGAUGUUAGCGGCGGACGGGUGAGUAACACGUGGAUAACCUACCUAUAAGACUGGGAUAACUUCGGGAAACCGGAGCUAAUACCGGAUAAUAUUUUGAACCGCAUGGUUCAAAAGUGAAAGACGGUCUUGCUGUCACUUAUAGAUGGAUCCGCGCUGCAUUAGCUAGUUGGUAAGGUAACGGCUUACCAAGGCAACGAUGCAUAGCCGACCUGAGAGGGUGAUCGGCCACACUGGAACUGAGACACGGUCCAGACUCCUACGGGAGGCAGCAGUAGGGAAUCUUCCGCAAUGGGCGAAAGCCUGACGGAGCAACGCCGCGUGAGUGAUGAAGGUCUUCGGAUCGUAAAACUCUGUUAUUA
rnacentral:rRNA from 1 species